rnacentral:lncRNA from 12 species
UUGUCUUCUUUUUUUUUUUUUUUUUUUUUUUCCCCCCCCCCCCCCCCCCCCCCCCCCCCCCCCCCCCCCCCCCCCUUUUUUUUUUUUUUUUUUUUUUUAAAGAACCUGAAGCCCAUUUUAGGCAGCAGUGACAGCUAAGCUUUUCAAAAGUUGGGAAUGAAUGAUAAUACACCCUGAAGCAUAUUAUAAAGGGUCCGUGUUCUUCAUGGAUGGGCUCGCUGGGGAGGUGUCAGGGUGUCAGUCAUGGUGUGCAAGGAGCUGUUUGUUCCACCUGCAGUGGCUGAAGCUGCUGCCCCAGGUUUGCUCUGACAGCCCUUUGGUUGUGCUGUCUCAGGUGGAGGGCACACUAACACCUCUUGUUUCAGGCCAGUCCCAGGACUCGUGGCUCCUUGUUGCUGCCGUUGGAUGUGUUUGGCGUGGUUCAGCUCCCUGCUGUGUGACUGUGUGAGGUUUGGGUGGCGAGGGAGGACUCUUGUUUUGUGGCACUGCUGCUUUCUUCUCUCUGUCCCAAUAUUGCAUUAAUGGUGUCUCAGGGAUGGGCUGUGGGAGAAGCCACCAGCCUGUCCUGCAGCUGGCAACACCUGGAGGAGUUUUGUGUGUUUUUCAUCCCUGUUGAGAACCUGUGGGUGACCCACACUCGUGGCAGGGGGUGCAGGUGUUGUAGCAGCUCCUCCUGGGGGCUCAGGUGUGCAGGUCAUGGCCAGUCAUGAGUUGCUGGGGUUAUGACUUCUGCAAUAUCCCAGUUUUCAUGGCUGACAGGAGGAUUGUGAGCAGGUGAAAACUCUGGUUUCUGGGUGGGAUUUGUCCUCUGGCCGAGUCCAC